AUUCAGGUAGUUUAAUAAAAACUUUGAUUUGUGGGGUCAAGAAUGAAAUUUAUCUCUGGAUA
rnacentral:tRNA from 1 species